AACGAACGCUGGCGGCAUGCCUAACACAUGCAAGUCGAACGAGACCUUCGGGUCUAGUGGCGCACGGGUGCGUAACGCGUGGGAACCUGCCCUUAGGUUCGGAAUAACUCCCCGAAAGGGGUGCUAAUACCGGAUAAUGUCUUCGGACCAAAGAUUUAUCGCCUUUGGAUGGGCCCGCGUUGGAUUAGCUAGUUGGUAGGGUAAAAGCCUACCAAGGCGUCGAUCCAUAGCUGGUCUGAGAGGAUGAUCAGCCACACUGGGACUGAGACACGGCCCAGACUCCUACGGGAGGCAGCAGUGGGGAAUAUUGGACAAUGGGCGAAAGCCUGAUCCAGCAAUGCCGCGUGAGUGAUGAAGGCCUUAGGGUUGUAAAGCUCUUUUACCCGGGAUGAUAAUGACAGUACCGGGAGAAUAAGCUCCGGCGAACUCCGU
rnacentral:rRNA from 1 species